AUAGGAACUGCUGCUUUAAUGAGAGGGCGGGGUGGAAGAAGGCCUCUCUGAAGGGACGGCAACUAUGAGCUGAGGCCAGAUUUGAUAGCAGGAGCCAGACAGAGGCCUCUGGAGCAAUGCAGUCUGAGUAGAGGGGAUCGUUAGUACCCUUACCUUGAGUUGGGAAAGGCAUGGCUCAUUCAGCAGCCAAAGGGAGGCUGGAGAUACAGACUUGUAAAAGAGGUAAGUGGUAGGCCAUAGAUGACAUGGCCAAGAAGAGUUAGCAUCCAGUGACGGUCCUAGGCAGGGCAUGACACAGGCCAGCUCCUGUUCUGUAAGAUGACUGGCACUGUGAGUAGAAUGGGCUAAAGGGGCAAGUGUAGGAGCAGGGAGCCGGGAGCCGGGUGAGGUGACUGGUGACUGGACAAGACCAGAUCAGUGUCAAUGGGGAAGCAAAACCACACCGGGAACACCUAACAGAGAUAGGAUUCCUGGGACCCACUCAGAACCCGAGUAGAGACUACAGACCAGUUCUGCUUCUAGGCCUUCUGUGUGUUCUCACAUGGAGUCAUUCAAAAAGCAUUGGCCCUCCUUUUCCUCUCAGAGUCUAGGCUUGGCCCUGUGAUCCCAAGUUUCAUGUCUGUCUUUGAGCCAAGUAGAUUCUCAGGCAGUAAACUUGGUGAAAAUGUCUUAUUUUAUCUUCUUACCAUAUCAACAGAAACAUUCCUGCUUCCAACUGAAAACAUUGGCAUAUUCUAAGCUCAAAGCCAGAGCCCAAAUGCUUUGACAUGCUGUGCGGAAUGCUGUGUGAGCAGAAACAGCAAGAAGCAUUUCUUUGGGACACUCUUGGCUGACCCUGGGUUAGGGAAGAUAAGGGAUAUAACAAGCCCCUCACCAAGGGCUGGAGAGUAAUGAAGCCCACACUAUACUACCUGUCCCCCAAUCCAAACUAGAAGACCUUGGUCCAGGGCUAUAAAGGCAAGGCCCAGAAGAUGCAGGAGGAUGACUGGUAGCAACGUGGAGUGAAGUGAUCCAACCCUGCCUCCUGGCACCUUCCAUGGACAGAGGUGGCUUGGGCCAGGCAUGCUUGUUCCCACUCAUGUUCACAUGCACCCGUGUCCUAACAAGCCAAACCAGGGGACACCAACAGAAGGCAUGCACACAGGACACACAGGCAGUGGAGUCUGGGGUGAAUCUCAGCAAGAAAAAGGUCGUCCACUUUUGCUCCUCAUCUCCAGCAGUGUAACUCAGCUUCUCACUUAUUUACUGAGCACCUGUUUGAGGAGUCAGUGUGCAGUCAAGCUUAAGAGUAGUGAUUGCAAACUCAGAUGCUCUUGAUUCAAACUGCAGGCCUAGCCACAGUCUUGGGAAUGCCACUUAACUCCACAUGUUGGUGACCUCUUCUAUAAAACAGGGCUCAUGAAAAUCUGCCUUGUUGAGAGAACAAAGUGUUGGACCUCCCUGCAUGGUGACUGGUCCAUGAACAUCAACCAUUGUUAUGACAGGCCUGCUCGUGCCAACAACCAGGUUCCUGCCCCAACCCAGGCGUCUGCCAGGAGAAGUGAGGACUCAGUGCCGAGAUGGGGAGUUGCCAGAUCCUCCGAACGCCUCGCCUGCCACCCAGCUCUCCGCUGCUCUGGACCUGGCUUGUGACUUGCCACCUUUGUGAUGGAUGUUUACAGGAACCCAACCAGACGUCACCCACAGCCGCACCUGCCUCCCCCACUCAACCUCCGGGAAGGACACGGAGAGCUGAGGUGGCAAACGGACUCAUGCUUAGGCUUUUCCCGUCAGCAUUGUUUGAUGCUGGUUGACCUUAAGCCUGGGAAGACUUCAGACCCAAGACUGUUGAUCAUAGUUUCAGGGUGUCACUCUGGAGGGCUAUGCCAGGGCCCAGGACAGGGUUUAACUUCUCCAGGUUGACAGAACUGAGAUACUGCACUGGGGAAGGCCAUGCUGUGUCUGGCUAGAAAUCUAUUUUUGGAAGUGUGAGUGGUGUGUAAAGUGUGAAUGGUGUAGAUCCUUGAAUUUCCAUAAACCUGUAAAAGCAAUACCUAGAGGCUGACUUAUUUCAUUAAAAAAAAAAUGUAAGCAAUUCCAAUCUCCUUUGCCUUGUCUGGUUGCUGGUGUGUGUG
rnacentral:lncRNA from 1 species